GAUGCCUUGAGAAAAUUCUAAGCGAUCUCAUCAUUCGAGGAUUAAUGAUCCCAAAGUGCUACAUGGGAAGCGAAAACGGAUAUGAUGAAACGUUGCCCUCAUCUCUUUUAUUCUACUCAAGCCUAAGGGAUCGGUGUUGCUCCACACUAUCCUUCCCGUGGCUAAGUUUGAUCGUUGAAGGCUACUACUAUUUUGGGUUCGAAGAUCACAUCCAUUCUCCACGUGGCUAGUUGAGUUCCUAUACGUCGAAGAUUGGUGAAUCCUCAUCUAUUCGAGGGCGAGUUAUGAGUUUACUUCUUUCAAAAAUACUUUUGUUGUUUUACAUUGAGGGUGAGAUAGGGACAUGUCUUAUCUCCAGCCUAUAUUGAUUAGUAGAGGUUUGU